rnacentral:rRNA from 1 species
AGAAUCAACGCUGGCGGCGUGCCUAACACAUGCAAGUCGCACGAGAAAGUGGAGCAAUCCAUGAGUAAAGUGGCGCACGGGUGAGUAACACGUGAAUAAUCUACCUCCGAGUGGGGAAUAACUGAGAGAAAUCUUAGCUAAUACCGCAUAAUACCCACGGGUCAAAGCAGCAAUGCGCUUGGAGAGGAGUUCGCGGCCGAUUAGCUAGUUGGCGGGGUAAUGGCCCACCAAGGCGAUGAUCGGUA